UGGAGGACUGAGAAGGUUGAGCAGCUUGUAUUGUGCUGCUGUAACUGGUUAUAACCUCCAAGAGUAACUCACAAACCACACCUCCUAAUUGGCUCUGUCACAAGCAGAGCUGAUGUGAGUGUUUGUGAACAAAAC